UGGCUCACCAAGGCGACGAUCCGUAACUGGUCUGAGAGGAUGAUCAGUCACACUGGAACUGAGACACGGUCCAGACUCCUACGGGAGGCAGCAGUGGGGAAUAUUGGACAAUGGGCGAAAGCCUGAUCCAGCCAUGCCGCGUGUGUGAAGAAGGUCUUCGGAUUGUAAAGCACUUUAAGUUGGGAGGAAGGGCAUUAACCUAAUACGUUAGUGUUUUGACGUUACCGACAGAAUAAGCACCGGCUAACUCUGUGCCAGCAGCCGCGGUAAUACAGAGGGUGCAAGCGUUAAUCGGAAUUACUGGGCGUAAAGCGCGCGUAGGUGGUUUGUUAAGUUGGAUGUGAAAUCCCCGGGCUCAACCUGGGAACUGCAUUCAAAACUGACUGACUAGAGUAUGGUAGAGGGUGGUGGAAUUUUCCUGUG
rnacentral:rRNA from 1 species